rnacentral:rRNA from 1 species
CCUACGGGUGGCAGCAGUGAGGAAUAUUGGUCAAUGGGCGCGAGCCUGAACCAGCCAAGUAGCGUGAAGGAUGACUGCCCUACGGGUUGUAAACUUCUGUUAUAAAGGAAGAAAGUGAGGCACGUGUGCCUUUUUGUAUGUACUUUAUGAAUAAGGAUCGGCUAACUCCGUGCCAGCAGCCGCGGUAAUACGGAGGAUCCGCUCGUUAUCCGGAUUUAUGGGGUUUACAGGGAGCGUAGAUGGGUUGUUAAGUCAGUUGUGAAAGUUUGCGGCUCAACCGUAAAAUUGCAAUUGAUACUGGCAGUCUUGCGUACAGUUGCGGUAGGCGGCCUUCGUGGUGUAGCG